AUUGAACGCUGGUGGCAGGCCUAACACAUGCAAGUCGAGCGAGCGGCGGACGGGUGAGUAAUGUAUGGGGAUCUGCCCGAUGGAGGUGGAUAACUACUGGAAACGGUGGCUAAUACCGCAUACCAUCAGAUGCACCCAUAUGGGAUUGGCUUGUAGGUGGGGUAAUGGCUCACCUAGGCGACGAUCCCUAGCUGGUCUGAGAGGAUGAUCAGCCACACUGGGACUGAGACACGGCCCAGACUCCUACGGGAGGCAGCAGUGGGGAAUAUUGAACAAUGGGCGCAAGCCGGAUGCAGCCAUGCCGAGUGUAUGAAGAAGGCCUUAGGGUUGUAAAGUACUUUCGGCGGGGAGGCGUUACCCGCAGAAGAAGCACCGGCUAACUCCGUGCCAGCAGCCGCGGUAAUUC
rnacentral:rRNA from 1 species